rnacentral:rRNA from 1 species
AGUGAACGCUGGCGGUAGGCCUAACACAUGCAAGUCGAACGGCAGCACAGUAAGAGCUUGCUCUUACGGGUGGCGAGUGGCGGACGGGUGAGGAAUACAUCGGAAUCUACUUUUUCGUGGGGGAUAACGUAGGGAAACUUACGCUAAUACCGCAUACGACCUACGGGUGAAAGCGGGGGAUCUUCGGACCUUGCGCGAUUGAAUGAGCCGAUGUCGGAUUAGCUAGUUGGCGGGGUAAAGGCCCACCAAGGCGACGAUCCGUAGCUGGUCUGAGAGGAUGAUCAGCCACACUGGAGCUGAGACACGGUCCAGACUCCUACGGGAGGCAGCAGUGGGGAAUAUUGGACAAUGGGCGCAAGCCUGAUCCAGCCAUACCGCGUGGGUGAAGAAGGCCUUCGGGUUGUAAAGCCCUUUUGUUGGGAAAGAAAAGCAGCAGGUUAAUACCCCGCUGUUCUGACGGUACCCAAAGAAUAAGCACCGGCUAACUUCGUG